UCCCAGGUGGCUUAGUAGUAAAGAAUCUGCCUGCAAUUCAGGAGAUACAGGUUUGAUCCCUGGGCUGGGAG
rnacentral:tRNA from 1 species